UACAAGGGGGGCGAGCGUUGUUCGGAAUUAUUGGGCGUAAAGGGUGCGUAGGCGGUUUGGUAAGUCUUGUGUGAAAUCUUCGGGCUUAACUCGAAGUCUGCACUGGAAACUGCCGGGCUUGAGUGUGGGAGAGGGAAGCGGAAUUCCCGGUGUAGUGGUGGAAUGCGUAGAUAUCGGGAGGAACACCAGUGGCGAAGGCGGCUUCCUGGACCGGUUCUGACACUGAGGAGCGAAAGCGUGGGGAGCGAUCCGG
rnacentral:rRNA from 1 species